rnacentral:rRNA from 1 species
GACGAACGCUGGCGGCGUGCUUAACACAUGCAAGUCGAACGGAAAGGCCCUGCUUGCAGGGUACUCGAGUGGCGAACGGGUGAGUAACACGUGGGUGAUCUGCCCUGCACUUCGGGAUAAGCCUGGGAAACUGGGUCUAAUACCGGAUAGGAGCCAUUUUUAGUGUGAUGGUUGGAAAGUUUUUUCGGUGUAGGAUGAGCUCGCGGCCUAUCAGCUUGUUGGUGGGGUAAUGGCCUACCAAGGCGGCGACGGGUAGCCGGCCUGAGAGGGUGGACGGCCACAUUGGGACUGAGAUACGGCCCAGACUCCUACGGGAGGCAGCAGUGGGGAAUAUUGCGCAAUGGGCGCAAGCCUGAUGCGGCGACGCCGCGUGGGGGAUGACGGCCUUCGGGUUGUAAACUCCUUUCGCUAGGGACGAAGCUUUUUGUGACGAUACCUAGAUAAGAAGCACCGGCUAACUACGUG